CCUGAAGGCGCCCGAUCCCUUCCCAUCUGGGAAGCUAAGCAGG
ensembl:rRNA 5S_rRNA 5S ribosomal RNA